rnacentral:lncRNA from 1 species
GAGGUAAUGUCUAUUAUAGCUGGCUCCAGACCGAGGUAAUGUCUAUUAUAGCUGGCUCCAGACAGAGGUAAUGUCUAUUAUAGCUGGCUCCAGACAGAGGUAAUGUCUAUUUUAUCUGGUUCCAGACAGAGGUAAUGUCUAUUAUAGCUGGCUCCAGACAGAGGUAAUGUCUAUUAGAGCUGGCUCCAGACAGAGGUAAUGUCUAUUAUAGCUGGCUCCAGGCAGAGGUAAUGUCUAUUAGAGCUGGCUGCAGACAGAAAUAAUGUAUAUUAUAGCUGGCUCCAGACAGAGGUAAUGUCUAUUAUAGGUAAUGUAAAAGGUCAGGUGUGUGUGUGUGUGUGCUAUAUCUGGGUCCAGCCAGACUGAAUGCUAAAUCAAAGUGUAUUGGUGGUGUACAUUGUCUAUCAGAUGUUACAGCAGGUGCAGAGAGAUGCUUCUAGGGAGUUGGCUAGGAGAUAGAAACAGGGAGACUGUCAGCGCCAUCUUGUUCAAAAG